CACGUAGGGUGCGAGCGUUGUCCGGAAUUAUUGGGCGUAAAGAGCUCGUAGGCGGCUUGUUGCGUCGACCGUGAAAACCCGGGGCUCAACUUCGGGCUUGCGGUCGAUACGGGCGGGCUAGAGUUCGGUAGGGGAGACUGGAAUUCCUGGUGUAGCGGUGAAAUGCGCAGAUAUCAGGAGGAACACCGGUGGCGAAGGCGGGUCUCUGGGCCGAUACUGACGCUGAGGAGCGAAAGCGUGGGGAGCGAACAGG
rnacentral:rRNA from 1 species